AGUGAACGCUGGCGGUAGGCCUAACACAUGCAAGUCGAACGGCAGCACAGUAAGAGCUUGCUCUUACGGGUGGCGAGUGGCGGACGGGUGAGGAAUACAUCGGAAUCUACUUUUUCGUGGGGGAUAACGUAGGGAAACUUACGCUAAUACCGCAUACGACCUACGGGUGAAAGCAGGGGAUCUUCGGACCUUGCUCGAUUGAAUGAGCCGAUGUCGGAUUAGCUAGUUGGCGGGGUAAAGGCCCACCAAGGCGACGAUCCGUAGCUGGUCUGAGAGGAUGAUCAGCCACACUGGAACUGAGACACGGUCCAGACUCCUACGGGAGGCAGCAGUGGGGAAUAUUGGGCAAUGGGCGAAAGCCUGAUCGAGCCAUGCCGCGUGAGUGAAGAAGGCCUUCGGGUUGUAAAGCCCUUUUGUUGGGAAAGAAAAGCAGCAGGUUAAUACCCCGAUGUUUUGACGGUACCCAAAGAAUAAGCACCGGCUAACUUCGUG
rnacentral:rRNA from 1 species